CCUACGGGAGGCAGCAGUGAGGAAUAUUGGUCAAUGGGCGGGAGCCUGAACCAGCCAAGCCGCGUGAGGGAAGAAGGUACAGCGUAUCGUAAACCUCUUUUGUCAGGGAACAAAGGCGGGGACUAGUCCCCGGAUGAGGGUACCUGAAGAAAAAGCAUCGGCUAACUCCGUGCCAGCAGCCGCGGUAAUACGGAGGAUGCGAGCGUUAUCCGGAUUUAUUGGGUUUAAAGGGUGCGCAGGCGGCCUGUUAAGUCAGCGGUAAAAGCCCGGGGCUCAACCCCGGCGAGCCGUUGAAACUGGCGGGCUGGAGUGGGAGAGAAGUACGCGGAAUGCGCGGUGUAGCGGUGAAAUGCUUAGAUAUCGCGCAGAACCCCGAUUGCGAAGGCAGCGUACCGGCGCCCAACUGACGCUGAAGCACGAAGGCGUGGGUAGCGAACAGGAUUAGAUACCCGGGUAGUC
rnacentral:rRNA from 1 species